rnacentral:rRNA from 1 species
AAGCCGCCGCGGGAAUACAGAGGGUGCAAGCGUUAAUCGGAAUUACUAAGCGUAAAGCGCGCGUAGGUGGUUUGUUAAGUUGGAUGUGAAAUCCCCGGGCUCAACCUGGGAACUGCAUCCAAAACUGGCAAGCUAGAGUAUGGUAGAGGGUGGUGGAAUUUCCUGUGUAGCGGUGAAAUGCGUAGAUAUAGGAAGGAACACCAGUGGCGAAGGCGACCACCUGGACUGAUACUGACACUGAGGUGCGAAAGCGUGGGGAGCAAACAGGAUUAGAUACCCCUGUAGUCCCUGUCUCUUAUAA